GAACGCUGGCGGCGUGCUUAAUACAUGCAAGUCGAACGCUGAAGCACUCUGCUUGCAGAGUGCGGAUGAGUGGCGAACGGGUGAGUAACACGUGGGAAAUCUGCCUAGGAGUGGGGGAUAACAUUCGGAAACGGAUGCUAAUACCGCAUAUCUUUUUGAACCGCAUGGUUCUUAAACGAAAGACGGCUUCGGCUGUCGCUCUUAGAUGAUCCCGCGGCGUAUUAGGUAGUUGGUGAGGUAACGGCCCACCAAGCCGACGAUCAGUAGCCGGUCUGAGAGGAUGAACGGCCACAUUGGAACUGAGACACGGUCCAGACUCCUACGGGAGGCAGCAGUGGGGAAUCUUCCGCAAUGGGCGAAAGCCUGACGGAGCAACGCCGCGUGAGUGAAGAAGGCCUUCGGGUCGUAAAGCUCUGUUGUCGGGGACGAAUGUAGUAACUAUCAACAACGGUAACUAAUGACGGUACCUGACGAGGAAGCCACGGCUAACUACGUG
rnacentral:rRNA from 1 species